GGGGUUAUAGUCCAACCAGGCAAGACGACUGGCUCCAGACCAGUUGAUGGGAGUUCGAAUCUCCCUGACCCCA
rnacentral:tRNA from 1 species